rnacentral:rRNA from 1 species
GCGUUGAUCGGAAUUACUGGGCGUAAAGCGUGCGCAGGCGGUUGUGCAAGACAGAUGUGAAAUCCCCGGGCUUAACCUGGGAAUUGCAUUUGUGACUGCACGGCUAGAAUUUGGCAGAGGGGGGUAGAAUUCCACGUGUAGCAGUGAAAUGCGUAGAGAUGUGGAGGAAUACCGAUGGCGAAGGCAGCCCCCUGGGCUAAGAUUGACGCUCAUGCACGAAAGCGUG